UUUCCGUAGGUGAACCUGCGGAAGGAUCAUUAAUGUGUUUGGGCCUCACAACUCUUCAUUCCUACACUGUGCUCCUACGGGCUGCACGCUUAGGGAGCAUAUAUCCACCCCUGUGCAGACACACGGUGGCGAGCUGGGUAACGACUCGAUGCUGAUAAUUACAAACGUCUAAAAGUAAUUGUAUAUUUAUUUGAGGUGAAAAAACAACUUUCAGCAACGGAUCUCUUGGCUCUC
rnacentral:misc_RNA from 1 species